rnacentral:rRNA from 1 species
GGGAGGUUGGAUGGUUUCCAUGCAUGUCGAACGCUGAAGCUUGGUGCUUGCACUGGGUGGAUGAGUGGCGAACGGGUGAGUAAUACGUGAGUAACCUGCCCUUGACUCUGGGAUAAGCCUGGGAAACUGGGUCUAAUACUGGAUAUGACAUGUCACCGCAUGGUGGUGUGUGGAAAGGGUUUUACUGGUUUUGGAUGGGCUCACGGCCUAUCAGCUUGUUGGUGGGGUAAUGGCUCACCAAGGCGACAACGGGUAGCCGGCCUGAGAGGGUGACCGGCCACACUGGGACUGAAACACGGCCCAAACUCCUACGGGAGGCAGCAGUGGGGAAUAUUGCACAAUGGGCGGAAGCCUGAUGCAGCGACGCCGCGUGAGGGAUGACGGCCUUCGGGUUGUAAACCUCUUUCAGCACGGAAGAAGCGAAAGUGACGGUACGUGCAGAAGAAGCGCCGGCUAACUACGUGCCAGCAGCCGCGGUAAUACGUAGGGCGCAAGCGUUGUCCGGAAUUAUUGGGCGUAAAGAGCUCGUAGGCGGUUUGUCGCGUCUGCUGUGAAAGCCCGGGGCUUAACCCCGGGUGUGCAGUGGGUACGGGCAGACUUGAGUGCAGUAGGGGAGACUGGAAUUCCUGGUGUAGCGGUGAAAUGCGCAGAUAUCAGGAGGAACACCGAUGGCGAAGGCAGGUCUCUGGGCUGUUACUGACGCUGAGGAGCGAAAGCAUGGGGAGCGAACAGGAUUAGAUACCCUGGUAGUCCAUGCCGUAAACGUUGGGCACUAGGUGUGGGGAACAUUCCACGUUUUCCGCGCCGUAGCUAACGCAUUAAGUGCCCCGCCUGGGGAGUACGGCCGCAAGGCUAAAACUCAAAGGAAUUGACGGGGGCCCGCACAAGCGGCGGAGCAUGCGGAUUAAUUCGAUGCAACGCGAAGAACCUUACCAAGGCUUGACAUACACCGGACCGGGCCAGAGAUGGUCUUUCCCCUUGUGGGGCUGGUGUACAGGUGGUGCAUGCUUGUCGUCAGCUCGUGUCGUGAGAUGUUGGGUUAAGUCCCGCACGAGCGCACCCUCGUUCUUUGUUGCAGCACGUGAUGGUGGGACUCAUAGGAGACUGCGGUCACUCGGAGAGGUGGGGAUGACGUCAAUCAUCAUGCCCUUAUGGUCUGGCUCAGGCAUGCUACAUGACAGUACAAUUGGUGGCAUGCCG